rnacentral:misc_RNA from 1 species
GAUGAAGAACGUAGCGAAAUGCGAUACGUAAUGUGAAUUGCAGAAUUCAGUGAAUCAUCGAGUCUUUGAACGCACAUUGCGCCCCCUGGUAUUCCGGGGGGCAUGCCUGUCCGAGCGUCAUUGCUGCCCUCAAGCACGGCUUGUGUGUUGGGCCUCCGUCCUCCUCCCGGGGGACGGGCCCGAAAGGCAGCGGCGGCACCGCGUCCGGUCCUCGAGCGUAUGGGGCUUCGUCACCCGCUCUUGUAGGCCCGGCCGGCGCUUGCCGACACAUCAAUCUUUUUUCCAGGAUGACCUCGGAUCAGGUAGGGAUACCCGCUGAACUUAAGCAUAUCAAUAUGCGGAGGA